UAUGGUAAGUGCCAGCCGCCGCGGUAAUACGUAGGUGGCGAGCGUUGUCCGGAAUUAUUGGGCGUAAAGAGCAUGUAGGCGGCUUAAUAAGUCGAGCGUGAAAAUGCGGGGCUCAACCCCGUAUGGCGCUGGAAACUGUUAGGCUUGAGUGCAGGAGAGGAAAGGGGAAUUCCCAGUGUAGCGGUGAAAUGCGUAGAUAUUGGGAGGAACACCAGUGGCGAAGGCGCCUUUCUGGACUGUGUCUGACGCUGAGAUGCGAAAGCCAGGGUAGCGAACGGG
rnacentral:rRNA from 1 species